rnacentral:rRNA from 1 species
AACGUAGGUGGCGAGCGUUAUCCGGAUUUACUGGGCGUAAAGGGUGUGCAGGCUGCCCCUCAAGUGGUGUAUGAAAGCACCCGGCUCAACCGGGUCAUGGUAUGCCAGACUGAAGGGCUAGAGAGCGAGAGCGGGACGUGGAAUUCCGGGUGUAGUGGUGAAAUGCGUAGAGAUCCGGAGGAACCCCAGAGGCGAAGGCGGCGUCCUCGGCUCGCAUCUGACGCUCAGACACGACAGCAUGGGGAGCGAACGGG